rnacentral:rRNA from 1 species
GAUGAACGCUGGCGGCGUGCCUAAUACAUGCAAGUCGAACGAACACACGAGGAGCUUGCUCCUCUGGCGUGAGCGGCGGACGGGUGAGUAACACGUGCAUGACCUACCUAUGAGACUGGGAUGACCACGGCAGACCGGAUCUAAUAUCCGACAAUAUAUUGAACCGGGUGGAUCAUUAGUGAAAGCGGGGUUUGCUGUGACGAUUAGAGGUUAGCGCGCCGGAUUAGCUAGUUGGUAGGGUAACGGCUUACCAAGGCUACGAUGCGUAGCCGACCUGAGAGGGUGAUCGGCCACACUGGAACUGAGACACGGUCCAGACUCCUACGGGAGGCAGCAGUGGGGAAUCUUGGACAAUGGGCGAAAGCCUGACCCAGCAACGCCGCGUGAGUGAUGAAGGCCUUCGGAUCGUAAAACUCUUUUGGUGGGAAAGAACAAAAGUGUAAGUAACCCUGGAUGUCAUGACGGUACCCGAAGAAAAAGCCCCGGCUAACUACGUG